rnacentral:rRNA from 1 species
AUUGAACGCUGGCGGCAUGCCUUACACAUGCAAGUCGAACGGUAACAGGUCUUCGGAUGCUGACGAGUGGCGAACGGGUGCGUAAUACAUCGGAACGUGCCCGAUCGUGGUGGGUAACGAAGCGAAAGCUUUGCUAAUACCGCAUACGAUCUACGGAUUAAAGCAGGGGACCGCAAGGCCUUGCGCGAACGGAGCGGCCGAUGGCAGAUUAGGUAGUUGGUGGGAUAAAAGCUUACCAAGCCGACGAUCUGUAGCUGGUCUGAGAGGACGACCAGCCACACUGGGACUGAGACACGGCCCAGACUCCUACGGGAGGCAGCAGUGGGGAAUGUUGGACAAUGGGCGAAAGCCUGAUCCAGCCAUGCCGCGUGCAGGAUGAAGGCCUUCGGGUUGUAAAAUGCUUUUGUAAGGAACGAAAAGACUCUGGUUAAUACCUGGGGUCCAUGACGGUACCGUAAGAAUAAGCACCGGCUAACUACGUG